rnacentral:rRNA from 1 species
GAUGAACGCUGGCGGCGUGCCUAAUACAUGCAAGUCGAGCGAACGGACGAGAAGCUUGCUUCUCUGAUGUUAGCGGCGGACGGGUGAGUAACACGUGGAUAACCUACCUAUAAGACUGGGAUAACUUCGGGAAACCAUAGCUAAUACCGGAUAAUAUUUUGAACCGCAUGGUUCAAAAGUGAAAGACGGUCUUGCUGCCACUUAUAGAUGGAUCCGCGCUGCAUUAGCUAGUUGGUAAGGUAACGGCUUACCAAGGCAACGAUGCAUAGCCGACCUGAGAGGGUGAUCGGCCACACUGGAACUGAGACACGGUCCAGACUCCUACGGGAGGCAGCAGUAGGGAAUCUUCCGCAAUGGGCGAAAGCCUGACGGAGCAACGCCGCGUGAGUGAUGAAGGUCUUCGGAUCGUAAAACUCUGUUAUUAGGGAAGAACAUAUGUGUAAGUAACUGUGCACAUCUUGACGGUACCUAAUCAGAAAGCCACGGCUAACUACGUG